AUAAGAUAUAGCGUCGACAACGAAUCCUCUCCCAUCCGCGUCGUCGUCGUCUUCGAUCUCUCCUUCAGAUCGAAGCAAAAGGGUGAAGACAACCAAAAGUUUCCUUUUUUUUUUUAUAUUGUUUUUCCUUCAAUUCUUUCGCCGAUUUUCUCAAUAGAAUUCGAGGUCAGAGGAAGAGCAGCAAAGUUUUUGCAUCGAUCAAUCGAUCUCUCUCUCACCAUGAGUUUUAUUUUCGGGAAGAGGAGAACUCCGGCAGAGCUGCUGAGAGAGAACAAGAGAAUGCUCAAUAAGUCAAUUCGGGAGAUAGAAAGGGAGAGACAGGGUCUGCAAGCACAGGAGAAAAAGCUCAUCGUGGAGAUAAAGAAGACUGCUAAGUCUGCAAAUACUUGAUGUUUAGUAUAUGCAGCAGUUAAGGUCAUGGCAAAGGACCUCAUUCGAACAAGGCAUCAGAUCACAAAGUUUUAUGCACUUAAAUCACAACUUCAAGGUGUAUCACUGAGAAUUCAGAAAAGUCCCAGAACAAUAACAAUUAAGUGGAAGAUGCUGAAUUCCUUUCCAGAUAAGUAUUUUAAUCUUCACUGGAUACUGAAUUGUGUAUAUAAUACUGGUAAAAUACUCCGUACAUUCAAAAAUGUAUAGAUAUAUGGUAGAAUAAAUUGGAUAUAUUAAUAUGAUACUAAAUUAAAGAAAUUUAAAUUUUAUUUGCCUGAAUUUAAUUUUAUCAAAAAUGUACUAAUUAAAAAAGUUGGGUUGCAUAAUUAGUUUUGUAAUUAAACUUAGAAUUCUAAGCAAUAUGAAACAAUAAUAUUGAUUAAAAAUAUUUAUAGUAAUCAUUCAUUGCAUGUUUCUAAAUCUUAUUCCAUGCAGGUUAAUACGAACGAAAUGUAUUUUUUUGAUCAUGGACUAAAUUUGAAACUAGGUCAAUACACAAAAAUUAUUGGUUUUGGUGGUGCCACUUGAUGCCAAUCAUGUAUCAUUUUAUCAGACAUUAAAAUCCUUUGUCUUAGUUUGUAGUGAUUGUUACGGACUCUACACCUUAGGAAGAGUGAGUUAACAAAUAUUCUUCCUUAUUGUCUCAACAAUCUCUCCUGCUCUAUUUUUCCCCCUAUUAUGCUCUGGUCUAUUCAAUAUGUCAAUACUCUUUGUUAGCUAUCUCUCUUGAAUCUCUUCUAGUUGUGCCACUUUAUCACUGCAGCUUCAAGUAAUUUGAUUGUUGUGUUCUCUGUCACUCAUUAUUUGAUCGUGUGAUCUCCCUUGCACCCUUUUGAUCUCAUUCAGAUGUAAAAGAAGAUGAAGACGCAAAAGAAGAUGAAGGGGGGAGUUGCUCGUCAGGAUCCUUCCCUUAUCUUGUUUCCUGGAUAGUUUAUCUGUUCAUAGUUGAAUCCAGUUCAAUGAAAAAAAAUGAUUUAAUGCAAACUAGAAGCCCAGGUUGAGCCUUACUUAACCCACAACAACCACAACAACCAAACCUUAUCUCACUAGGUGGGAAGGCUACUUAUUGAGCCCACAAUCAAAACUAAAUAAAACCCUAUCUCCACCAUGUAGCACAUCUUAAACCGUAUUGAACCCAAUUCAAGUCAUUAGACCCAAUUCCAAAUAAUACUUGAAUAAACAUUCAUUUCGACUUAAUUGAAGAUAUAUAUAAAACUCUUAGAAUCGACAUAUGUAUUUUGACCUUAGUUGAAGAUAUAUAUAAAGUGUUUAAAGACCUAAUUGUAAAUAGCUAGGCACUUAAAUGUAAAUAUUUCAUUUUGGUGUAAAUUGUAGAAGUAAUGAAUACAAAUAUGGUUAGAGGGGACUAGCUAGAGUAAGAAAUCCCUAUUAAUCAUGUUGUGGUAUGAGAAUCAGAGCCGUCAAUCAAUUACAGUUCUUGGUGAGGACUAUUUCCGCACACCAACUAAAUCUUGAGCUCUUGUGUCCUUCCUUGUGCAAUGCUUGCAGACACAUGAUUGCCAGACCUGCGUGACACCAUGAUGCACACAAGCAACACCCUUCCUGCAUGCACUCAAUUACCAUAGGACUUGACUCAUGACUGCCAUGCCUACCCACAACCUUGUGACACCAGAUGUGUCUUCUAGCCAACUAUUACUUCUUUUUGUUGAAUCACAGGGUGAUUGAUGAGUAGCUCCCUACAAUAAACUUCUCACAACCCCCCUUGUUGUUCCCUUUGAACAACAAAACCUUGUUAUAAAAGUAAAAUACUAAAUAACUACUCUCUUUCUUCCAACGUUGUUACUAACAAGAUCCCUUAAUUCAAAAUGUUAGAUUCUAACUACUUUCCAGUUGCCUUGUAUUGUUGGUUUUCUAGGCUUUUUUAGCCCCACAAUGGUUAUCACAAAAAACCAUAGUUUUAAGCUGGUGCAGUUUGGUGGGUUAUCAAAUGUGUUCAAACCAUGUUUCUUAGACGGUACAAUUUGUCUCGAAGUUUAUCAAAUGUAUUUUUCCUGACUAUUUUUAUCUCCAAAAAGACCAUCGUUGCUGUUCUUUAGAGUCACAUUGUGAACUUGUCUUUAUUGAUAUGACAAACAUAGUAAAAAGGCUCUAAAAAUGGUUUAAAUGGUGGAAUUUAGGGUUGAAAUUUGGUGGUUAUGCAUAAUAAACAUAGACUUUCAAAUUCUGCAUGUGUGGCGAUAAACAGAAUCUGAUUCAGAGUCAUGAGUCAAAAGUUAUGACUGUAUAAAGUUUGAAGGGUCAUAUUGGGGGCUUCAACAUAGGUUGGGCCUGCAUUAGUAUCCUCGGAUUGAAAAGAAUUCACCUUUGAGUUUAUAUUAGCUUCAUCAACAUUUGUUGAAUAAAGAGUUAAGUGCUUCACAUUGAAGACAUCAGAAGUCUUCAGAUGACUCGGAAGGUGCAAUCUGUAGGCAUUAUAGUUAAUCUUCUAUAGUAUCUCACAAUAAUUUUUUUUUGACUCUUUAGCUUAUUAUACUCUCCAACAGGGAAAUGAUCACGAGUCGAUACAGCCUAGACAAAAUCUUCAAUCUUAAAAAGUACCUAUCGACGAUGACUAUCGACCCGAGUCUUAUACUUGGUAUUAUUUUCCAUAAUUGCCACUUUCACUUGCUCAUGAAUACCUCGAAGAUACUCUUCCAUCUCAUCUGCUUUAGGACUAAUUUGCCCUAUACGUGGAAUAGUGGCUAAGUCCAGAACUCUUGAAGGAUUCUGCC